rnacentral:rRNA from 1 species
UACAGAGGGGGGCAAGCGUUGUUCGGAAUUACUGGGCGUAAAGUGUGCGCAGGCGGCCAUGCAAGUCGAGUGUGAAAGCCCCGAGCUUAACUUGGGAAUUGCGCUCGAAACUACGUGGCUGGAGUGUGGCAGAGGAAGGUGGAAUUCCACGUGUAGCGGUGAAAUGCGUAGAGAUGUGGAGGAACACCAAUGGCGAAGGCAGCCUUCUGGGCCAACACUGACGCUCAUGCACGAAAGCGUGGGGAGCAAACAGG